rnacentral:rRNA from 3 species
AAUCCAUAGGUUAAUGAGGCGAACCGGGGGAACUGAAACAUCUAAGUACCCCGAGGAAAAGAAAUCAACCGAGAUUCCCCCAGUAGCGGCGAGCGAACGGGGAGGAGCCCAGAGCCUGAAUCAGCAUGUGUGUUAGUGGAAGCGUCUGGAAAGGCGCGCGAUACAGGGUGACAGCCCCGUACACAAAAGCGCAUGUGCUGUGAGCUCGAUGAGUAGGGCGGGACACGUGGUAUCCUGUCUGAAUAUGGGGGGACCAUCCUCCAAGGCUAAAUACUCCUGACUGACCGAUAGUGAACCAGUACCGUGAGGGAAAGGCGAAAAGAACCCCGGCGAGGGGAGUGAAAAAGAACCUGAAACCGUGUACGUACAAGCAGUGGGAGCACCCUUUGGGUGUGACUGCGUACCUUUUGUAUAAUGGGUCAGCG